GGCCGCGUGGUUCCUCUAUGCCGGGACGGAGUUGUAGUUGCUAAGAUGACCAAAGUAAAGGCCGCUCCCGAAGAGUCCGAGGCGCAGGCGGAGGGCUGCAGCGAGGAGCGCACGUACAAAGAGCUGCUGGUCAAUCUGAACCCCAUCGCGCAGCCCCUGGCUUCCCGCCGCCUGACGCGCAAGCUCUACAAGUGCAUCAAGAAGGGUGAGGCGGGCGCGUGGCGAUCGCGGUCCGGGACCGGUGACUUGGGCGGCCCGGGGUCGAGCCUCGUGAGCGAGGUGUCGGCUCACGCUUCUCUCUCUUUGUAGCUGUGAAGCAGAAGCAGAUUCGUCGCGGGGUGAAGGAGGUUCAGAAAUUUGUCAACAAGGGCGAGAAAGGGAUCAUGGUUUUGGCAGGAGAUACAUUGCCGAUUGAGGUGUACUGCCAUCUUCCAGUUCUGUGCGAGGACCAGAACUUGCCCUACGUCUACAUCCCCUCUAAGACGGACUUGGGUGCAGCCACAGGCUCCAAGCGUCCCACUUGUGUGAUCAUGGUGAAGCCCCAUGAAGAAUAUCAGGAGACCUACGACAAGUGCCUGGAGGAGGUGCAGGCACUGCCUACACCUCUGUGAGAGACUUGGGCUGCAACCCAGCCCCUUUCCAAGAGAUCUGGCUGGCUGCAGGCAGCUGCCCACCCUAACAGCAUCUCCCCGAUUUCUUGCUGUGUGAGUCUUCCCAGGCAGCUCCAGCAGUGUUGGAGGUGGAGCCUGCAUCUCUGCCAUCUCCUCCUGAGCUUUGAUGAAGACAGUUCCAAGAAUGUGGGAUAGAAGUAAAUGCUAAGGCGAAAACGUGGCAAGUGUGUGGGUGUUCUUGAAGUUGGCAGGAGGAGCAAAAGCAGCCUUUCAGCACAGAGCCUCAAGGGUGUACCUGGCAAAUGUUCUGCACUGGCUCUACAGCCCACCCGUCUUCAUUUCCCACUCUAGGACAGUUGGGGUGAGGAGAUGAGGCAUCAAGGCCCAAACCCCACUUCACACACCUCCAAGAGUGAUACGCAUAUAUAUACACACAAGACCAUGCAAUCAUUGGUAAGGAGAAGGGCUAUGAAUAUAUUUGCUCAAAGUUAUAAAACAGCA